rnacentral:rRNA from 1 species
CGUCAAAGCUUAAUUAUUAGAGACAAUAAAUUCCACAAAAAAUUAAAACCCUACCCCAAUACUGAAUAAUUCCAUACAUCUAUGGAAGCUAUUAUGUUAAAACUAGUAACAUGAAGACAACCUUCUCUUAAAUGUAAAUAUAAAUCAGAAUGGAUCACACACUGAUAAUUAACAGCCUUUAACUAAAGUGACAACCUCACCCAAGAAAACCCCACUAAUCUACCUGUUAACCUUACACAAGAACAUUUAAAGAAAGACUUAAAGAAAAAGAAGGAACUCGGCAAAAACUGAUUCCGCCUGUUUACCAAAAACAUCGCCUCCUGAAUUUUAACCAUAAGAGGUCCAGCCUGCCCAGUGACUCUGUUUAACGGCCGCGGUAUCCUAACCGUGCGAAGGUAGCGUAAUCACCUGUUUUUUAAUUAAAGACCUGAAUGAAGGCAUCACGAGAAUCACACUGUCUCCUUUUUCAAGUCAGUGAAACUAAUCUCCUCGUGAAAAAGCGAGGAUACCACUACAAGACGAGAAGACCCUUUGGAGCUUAAGACAAAAUAAAUAUCUGCCCUCUCACAAUCCCCUAUGUCACACAACAUUAUAUUUAUAAGUCUUGGGUUGGGGCAACCGCGGAAUAAAAACAAACUUCCAAGCUGAACGGAGAUUUCCUAAACAAGAAGCAACAGCUUUAUGUAUUAGUAAACUAACACAAUUUGACCCAAUAUAUUUUGACUAACGAACCAAGUUACCCUAGGGAUAACAGCGCAAUCCACUUCAAGAGUUCAUAUCGAAAAGUGGGCUUACGACCUCG